AUUGAACGCUGGCGGCAUGCCUAACACAUGCAAGUCGAGCGGAUGAAGGGAGCUUGCUCCUGGAUUCAGCGGCGGACGGGUGAGUAAUGCCUAGGAAUCUGCCUUGUAGUGGGGGAUAACGUCCUGAAACGGGCGCUAAUACCGCAUACGUCCUGAGGUCGAAAGUGGGGGAUCUUCGGACCUCACGCUAUCAGAUGAGCCUAGGUCGGAUUAGCUAGUUGGUGGGGUAAAGGCCUACCAAGGCGACGAUCCGAAACUGGUCUCAGAGGAUGAUCAGUCACACGGGAACUGAGACACGGUCCAGACUCCUACGGGAGGCAGCAGUGGGGAAUAUUAGGCAAUGGGGGAAAGCGUGAUCCAGCAAUGCCGCGUGUGUCAAGAAGGUCUUCGGAUUGUAAAGCACUUUAAGUUGGGAGGAAGGGCAGUAAGUUAAUCCCUUGCUGUUUUGACGUUACCAACAGAAUAAGCACCGGCUAACUUCGUG
rnacentral:rRNA from 1 species